CGGCGAGGUGGGUGAGGCUGUGUGUUGUCGCGGUGUCACUGUUGAUGUACGCCGCCUCAAUGACGGAAGUGCCGUCCAUCACCUCUUAUAAGGUUGUUCCGAAGUUUCCUAAUGAGCUCACUAGGUACUGUCUCCUCGAAGAAGUGAUACUGGGGGCAGCCAGCACCUACCUCUGUGCCAUGGAAUGCCUCCACCACCCAGAGUGCCUCCUUUACUGCCUCAGAGUACUGAGGGGUACGUCAUCACGUAGACUGUACUUACAAGUGAGGGUCGAUGUAAAUCAGUAUGGUGUUCCAAGACACAACAGUACUGUGUAAAUUGUCUUAGCACAAAACUCAAGGACAGGAGAGGGAGGAGAUGUUCUCAGUAUGGCUGUAAAGUUUGGUCUGAGUGUUACGGAAUGCCAGGCAGUCACCACCACCUGCAAAACUGUCUAUUCAGCAGAAACCAGGACCGCUUGGCUCUAAGCAUCCCUUCAGCUCGCUCCACUCCCCUUUCCUACACCUUUAAUACUCUCUUAACUAAAUUAUUUCUAACAAUUUAUUAACACUGUCCACGCAGUACCCCGGGGUGGGUAACACUCGGAAACGGCUGUUCUAUGGUUGCGACGUUUACAAACAUCUGGUGAAGUAACCGGUCAUGCAGCCACAUGGGAGUCACAACACCUCUAUAGUCUACAAGGGAGGUCAGAGAAUGCGUGGUCGUAGGCUGAGUGAAUUUUGUUUGUUUGGGUAAGGUGACACUCAUAGAUAACACAUUAGUUGUGGUGCUGGAAGUCACUCAGUGCUGAGUUAAGGUGCUGAAGGCAACAAAUGCCAGCACUGUGUUGCUAAAGCCAGCGGCGAUAACAUGAUUCUCAAACGCUUAUAAAUUUCCAUCAUAUAGA